CAGCCGCCGCGGUAAUACGAAGGGUGCAAGCGUUACUCGGAAUUACUGGGCGUAAAGCGUGCGUAGGUGGUGGUUUAAGUCCGUUGUGAAAGCCCUGGGCUCAACCUGGGAAUUGCAGUGGAUACUGGGCCACUAGAGUGUGGUAGAGGAUAGUGGAAUUUCCGGUGUAGCAGCGAAAUGCGUAGAGAUCGGAAGGAACAUCUGUGGCGAAGGCGACUAUCUGGGCCAACACUGACACUGAGGCACGAAAGCGUGGGGAGCAAACAGGAUUAGAUACCCCUGUAGUCCCUGUCUCUUAUAC
rnacentral:rRNA from 1 species